CUUAAUUCUAUCACAAUCCUCUCAGCUCAAGGAUCCCAGUCACUGGAUGGCGCGUCUCUGAGGCAUUCUCAGACUGAGCACAGCACUUGAUCGCCUUAAGGGAUGGGAAAAAAUUCUGUCAAUCAACAGUUGCUGGGUUUCAAUGAUGUGCUAGUGUGGCUGCCUUUUUCUCUACACGGUGAAUUCAACCAGCUUGCAGGUGAAAGAAGAGAAACGAAACACAGUCACGGAUGCUCUGAUGCAGUCGGGUCCCACUUCAGGAGGGAAGGCUUACUCCCCAGCUGCUGGGAGGCUGCCCACUGACAGGCUCGGUUGUCACCCCGCACAGGGCACCUCACCCCAGUCACACCCCUCCCCAGGUGGUCACAGCCCAUGCCUGACUGAUGUGAGGGUAUAAAGGCCCAGCCCCCUUUGCAGGUCUGGGGGGUCACCAGCUGCAGAGCACCCAAAGGACCUGAGCCCUUUCGGAGACUGACCACAGCUCCAUUCCUCCCUCUGCCCAGCAUGCCCUCCUCCCACCUCUUCCCUUCCCACGUGGAUCCCAAGUAAGAAAGCCCCUCGCUCUCACCUCCAUCUGAGUCGGCUUCCCGGGACCCGUGCAAUAGAAUCCCAAAUGUGAAAGCUUUACAUUCCCGUGCAGAGCAGGGGACAAUCAUCUGGACCACUUGGGGACACGAACUCUUUGUCGUCACAUAGGACAGACUGAGGGACUGGGAUGUUUCUGUUUUUCCCAUCUGAGGAACAGGCUUGCAGACCGGGCCCUGUCGUGGCAUCUUGGUUUCACAGUUGCUUUGGGACCCCUGCCAGGACAGGGCCUCUGGCUAGCAGAACUUUGGAAAGACAUUCGUUUACCCAACCGCCCUGAUCCCCUACGUUCCUCGUUUCCAAGCCUUUUAAAAAUAGAAGUGUGAAAACCAUUUAAUUGCCAAGAAGCCGUGGGGUCUGUGCUUUUGUGGCCACGGUCAAGUUGGAAAGCAGCCUUGAGAUGUAGGAGGAAAACAAGUCCCUGUUUUUCUCCCUCGCCUGUGACUCAGACACCCUCCGGGAACGUCAUCCUGUGCCAGGCCCAGAGUCACGUGCUGGGCAGCAGUCAC
ensembl:lncRNA